rnacentral:rRNA from 1 species
GCGUGAUGACGAGGCACUGCGGUGCUGAAGCAACAAAUGCCCUGCUUCCAGGAAAAGCCUCUAAGCAUCAGGUAACAUCAAAUCGUACCCCAAACCGACACAGGUGGUCAGGUAGAGAAUACCAAGGCGCUUGAGAGAACUCGGGUGAAGGAACUAGGCAAAAUGGUGCCGUAACUUCGGGAGAAGGCACGCUGAUAUGUAGGUGAAGUCCCUCGCGGAUGGAGCUGAAAUCAGUCGAAGAUACCAGCUGGCUGCAACUGUUUAUUAAAAACACAGCACUGUGCAAACACGAAAGUGGACGUAUACGGUGUGACGCCUGCCCGGUGCCGGAAGGUUAAUUGAUGGGGUUAGCGCAAGCGAAGCUCUUGAUCGAAGCCCCGGUAAACGGCGGCCGUAACUAUAACGGUCCUAAGGUAGCGAAAUUCCUUGUCGGGUAAGUUCCGACCUGCACGAAUGGCGUAAUGAUGGCCAGGCUGUCUCCACCCGAGACUCAGUGAAAUUGAACUCGCUGUGAAGAUGCAGUGUACCCGCGGCAAGACGGAAAGACCCCGUGAACCUUUACUAUAGCUUGACACUGAACAUUGAGCCUUGAUGUGUAGGAUAGGUGGGAGGCUUUGAAGUGUGGACGCCAGUCUGCAUGGAGCCGACCUUGAAAUACCACCCUUUAAUGUUUGAUGUUCUAACGUUGACCCGUAAUCCGGGUUGCGGACAGUGUCUGGUGGGUAGUUUGACUGGGGCGGUCUCCUCCUAAAGAGUAACGGAGGAGCACGAAGGUUGGCUAAUCCUGGUCGGACAUCAGGAGGUUAGUGCAAUGGCAUAAGCCAGCUUGACUGCGAGCGUGACGGCGCGAGCAGGUGCGAAAGCAGGUCAUAGUGAUCCGGUGGUUCUGAAUGGAAGGGCCAUCGCUCAACGGAUAAAAGGUACUCCGGGGAUAACAGGCUGAUACCGCCCAAGAGUUCAUAUCGACGGCGGUGUUUGGCACCUCGAUGUCGGCUCAUCACAUCCUGGGGCUGAAGUAGGUCCCAAGGGUAUGGCUGUUCGCCAUUUAAAGUGGUACGCGAGCUGGGUUUAGAACGUCGUGAGACAGUUCGGUCCCUAUCUGCCGUGGGCGCUGGAGAACUGAGGGGGGCUGCUCCUAGUACGAGAGGACCGGAGUGGACGCAUCACUGGUGUUCGGGUUGUCAUGCCAAUGGCACUGCCCGGUAGCUAAAUGCGGAAGAGAUAAGUGCUGAAAGCAUCUAAGCACGAAACUUGCCCCGAGAUGAGUUCUCCCUGACUCCUUGAGAGUCCUGAAGGAACGUUGAAGACGACGACGUUGAUAGGCCGGGUGUGUAAGCGCAGCGAUGCGUUGAGCUAACCGGUACUAAUGAACCGUGAGG